rnacentral:rRNA from 1 species
UGGGGAAUAUUGCACAAUGGGGGAAACCCUGAUGCAGCGACGCCGCGUGAACGAAGAAGGUAUUCGUAUCGUAAAGUUCUGUCCUAUGGGAAGAUAAUGACAGUACCAUAGAAGAAAGCUCCGGCUAAAUACGUGCCAGCAGCCGCGGUAAUACGUAUGGAGCGAGCGUUGUCCGGAAUUAUUGGGCGUAAAGGGUACGCAGGCGGUUUAAUAAGUCGAAUGUUAAAGAUCGGGGCUCAACCCCGCAAAGCAUUGGAAACUGAUAAACUUGAGUAGUGGAGAGGAAAGUGUAAUUCCUAGUGUAGUGGUGAAAUACGUAGAUAUUAGGAGGAAUACCAGUAGCGAAGGCGACUUUCUGGACACAAACUGACGCUGAGGUACGAAAGCGUGGGGAGCAAACAGG